rfam:Imtechella halotolerans K1 Contig41, whole genome shotgun sequence.
UAGGUGGAAGCUGAAAAACCUUAAAGAGUAGGCA